CCAGAGAGUAGGAUUGGUGCCUUCGGGAACUCUGACACAGGUGCUGCAGUGGCUGUCCGUCAGCUCGUGUCGUGGGAUGUUCGGUUAAGUCCGCUAACGAGCGCAACCCUCGCUGUGUGUUACAAGUGUCACACGGAACUGCCGGUCAUAAACCGGAGGAAGGUGGGGAUGACGUCAAGUCAGCAUGGCCUUUAUAUCCUGGGCUACACACACGCUACAAUGGGAAGGGACAAUAGGUUGCGAAGCCGCGAGGCGGAGCCAAUCCAGCAAAACUUCCCUCAGUUCAGAUUGCAGGCUGCAACUCGCCUGCAUGAAGUUGGAGUUGCUAGUAAACGCAGGUCAGCCAUACUGCGUUGAAUACGUUCCCGGGGCUU
rnacentral:rRNA from 1 species